rnacentral:lncRNA from 1 species
GGGGACCCGCUGGGCGCGAGCUUGCUGGCGGGACAGCGCGUGAGGGCGGGCAUGUGAGCGGGCGCGCAGCUCAAGUAGCACCAGGGUCUCUUGGCGCGGAGGGAACCCGCCACACGUUGCCAAGGUGUCUUCUUGGACUUGGAGAAGGACACCUGAGGGACCGCUACAAGGCAGAGAGGUGGCAGCGCUGGAGCCAGGGAGGCUGCUGUCCUUGUCUCAGGGGAGCAGAGAGUCCCCACGCCUGACUGCUUUCAGCUGCUGCCCGCCCAGCGCGCUCGGCGAAGACUUGGAAAGAGAUUCCCACUGGGAUGCCCCGGCAGCUGCCACCAUUCGGAAGGGGGUGGGGGAGAACGUAUCGACGAGGAAAGGGAAAGAUUCCUUGCUUUGCAGCUGCCGUGCCACCAAACCUCUCCCACAUUCUAAGGAAGGGAGGAUUCCUGAGACAGCUGCUCCGAACAGCGUGGAGGCGGGGUUAACAUUGCCUGUAGAUCUCUGAGAGUUUUUUUCCUCUCGUGAUUUUCCAAUGUGAAAGUCAGGUUCGCCUCAUUCUCAGAUUAACUGAAAAGAUAAAUUAUAUUAGGAUUGUAACCAGCACAGAUCCUUAUAAUGUAUCCUUCUCCUCCACCCCCACUAUUAGCAGUAAAGCUUUCUUCCUGAUGCAUUAGUGAAAACAAACAAAUACAGAAGAAAGUGGUUUUUCACCCUUAUGGUACUCUUUCAAGUCAUAAGGCCUUAAAAAAAAAUUUUCAUAUACUCGCAGUUCCCUAAAAUGCAAGUGAAGCAAAAAGUUGGGUCAAAAGUUAGGAAGUACCAUGGAGGAAUCAGAAGAAAAAAUUGUAUUGGUUUGAGAGAUGAAAUAGUUUCCUAGAGAACGGGUUAUUUGAGAUGGGCUUGAAAAGUAAACUGAACUUUAUCACAUGGAAAUUUGGUAGGAGGGAGGCAACAUGAGGAAAGAGAAGCACAGGAGUAUCUUCUUUAGAAAAGUGUUACAUCUUUUUAAAAUACUAAAAUGAAUUCAGCCGCACCAAAUCUCAUGUGGUUGCAGAUGUUUUUUAAAGAUUUGUUUUCUGUAAGUGGGCUUAAAUACUCCAAAGAUGAGACAGACAUUUUUCUCAUGAUCUGGAUUGGUGAUUCUUGCAUUACCAGGGUUGAGGCAAGCAGCAUCAUUGGCUUGCCGUUCCCUAAAUCCAAAAACUAUUUAAACACUUCAGGUUUAUAUUUCAGGUCAUUAAAUGAAUGUCUGCAAUAAGGGGAAGUAGGGUGUACCUGUAGAAGAAAGAGAACUCUCACUUGACCUUUAACACAUCAAUAGAGAGGGAGGGAACAUUAGAGAAAAAGCUUUUUAUAGCAUUUUGCCUCCUCAGAUUUAGGCAAAUAGUCUAACCUUGAGUAUGUUAAUAUAUCUGACAUAUAGGUGCCGGUAAAGUAUUUAUUAAGUAAAUAAAUGUUCUCCAUUAAGAAGGAGCAGGUGAUAGUAAAAAUUAUCUAAACAUGAUGUAGUCACAAAUAUUCAGUCUAAAUGAUCCAGGGCUAAGGUUUGUGUCUGUCAUGGAUUUGUCAAUUCACUGCUAACACUCUUCUACUGAUGAAACAAAAGGAGAUGUAAGACAAUUAUCCAAAUAUUUCCCAAAAAAUUGCCAACUCUUUUUUACAGUUCCUCAGGAUUAUUCAACCUGCCUUACUUUACCCCUGGUUACAGUAAAAUGGUUGGCAAAAAUUGGAGAUUCACUGCAGAAGGAAGGGUUAGGAAAGUAGAAGGAGAAACUUUACUUCUAGCCGCAGUUAAAAUACAGUAACUGUGGAUAGUUUGGUGUAAAGAAUAGAACCAUGGAGUGCUUCAGGGUGAGUUAUCUGUCCACCAACUAUUAAGCUCCUUAAUGGCACAAUACUCUGAACAUUGUAGGUACUCAAUACAUAUUAUUUGGAUUAAGUUAAAACUCUAAAGUUACUUGCUUUAAUUUUUCUGGCCUGAAAGCCCUUGCUUGAGUCUAUACAACUACUACCAGUUAGAGGAAGGAAGAUCUUGGUAUAAAUGGCUAUAUUAAUGUGGAAAGCAGUUUUACCAUCUAUUAAAAUUUAUCUUUUUGAUACUAUAAUGGAAAUUUUCUAGUCAAAAGUCUUCAUAUGGACUAUCAGCAGUUGAGUUUAUAGGCCUGCCUUACUUAUUUCCCUGUAUCAUACACCCAACUUACUACACAAAAAGGAAGAAAGACAAGAAGGAGGAAAAAAGAUUAUUUCUUGUAAAGUCAGGCUUAAGUUUUCUAUCACCAUCUAAUUUCUCUCUCUCUGACCUCACCAUCUUGAGAGAAUUAAAGGCUAAAGACUCAUAAUUUCAGUUGCCUUCAGCAUACAUUGAAACCAUAGCAGGAAAGAAAAAUACCCAAUGGAUUCAUAACAGGAAGCCUUGUGCAUAACUCAGAGGAACUCAAGCAAAGAGAAUGUAAUUUCAUGGUGAAAUCAAGAAGAUUAUUGAUCUACAAACCCGUACCUGUACAUACAAAGAAAAUUUUUAUAACAAAGACGGGAUGGAAUUUUCUUUCUUUCUACCAGAAAGAACACCCACUCCUCCCGAUUGUAACUUCUUGGCAUUUUGCUAGAGUAUGGAUUAAAUGAUAAUUUAGGGGAAGGAUACUGCCUACAUGAUUUGCUAUGCACUUGGAUAUGUAUCCCUGGAUUUCGAGUCUUCUUCAAAUUGUUAUUCCAUGUAGCCUAUGACAUCACAGCCUGGAAGUUUCGGCCUUGGUUUGCAGCACCCUCCUUGUGAGAAAAUCAAACAUUGCUUUGCUAUUCAUUAAAUUUCACUAAUGUUAAAUAAAACUUCAAAUGUUG